rnacentral:rRNA from 1 species
GGGCUAAUCAAACUGAGAAAUAGCUCGUACUCCCCGAAAUGUUUUUAGGAACAGCCUCGAGGUUGAGUUAAAUAGAGGUAGAGCUACCAAUUGGACUAGGGGGAGUCAAAUCCUACCAAAUCCAGAUGAACUCCGAAUGCUAUUUAAUAUACUCGGGAGUGAGGGCUGGGGUGCUAAGGUCCCAGUCCGAGAGGGAAAGAACCCGGACCAACAGCUAAGGUCCCAAAAUCUAUACUAAGUUGAACUAAGGAAGUCCAGUUGCAGAGACAGCCAGGAUGUUGGCUUGGAAGCAGCCAUUCAUUUAAAGAGUGCGUAACAGCUCACUGGUCGAGCGACAGGGCGUCGAUAAUAAACGGGCAUCAAGUAUAGUACCGAAGCUAUGGAUUUGCAGCAAUGCAAGUGGUAGGGGAGCAUUCUUAACAGCGGCGAAGGUGUACUGUAAGGUAUGCUGGAGCGUUAAGAAAAGCAAAUGUAGGCAUAAGUAACGAUAAUGCGGGCGAGAAACCCGCACACCGAUAGACUAAGGUUUCCUGAUCAACGUUAAUCGGAUCAGGGUUAGUCGGGACCUAAGGAAAAGCCGAAAGGUGUAUUCGAUGGACAACAGGUUAAUAAUCCUGUACCAGCUUUAUAAAGUGAUGGGGAGACGGAGUAGUGACAGAACUGCGCACUGACGGAAUAGUGCGUUGAAGCCAGUAGGUAUAGAGACUGUAGGUAAAUCCGCAGACUUUGCUGAAAGGUGAUAGUACAAUGAGGCUUCGGCCAAAUUGAUAAUGUUCGUAAUCAGACUUCCAAGAAAAUCCUCUAAGCGUUAAUUAUAAGGCUGCCCGUACCGUAAACCGACACAGGUGGUCAAGGAGAGAAUCCUAAGGUGCUCGAGUGAGUCACGGCUAAGGAACUCGGCAAAAUUACCCUGUAACUUCGGGAGAAGGGGUGCCACGCUUAUGCGUGGUCGCAGUGAAGAGGCCCAGGCGACUGUUUAACAAAAACACAUGGCUUUGCGAAAUCGAAAGAUGAAGUAUAAGGCCUGACACCUGCCCGGUGCUGGAAGGUUAAGGGGGGAUGUUAGCCGCAAGGCGAAGCAUUGAACUGAAGCCCCAGUAAACGGCGGCCGUAACUAUAACGGUCCUAAGGUAGCGAAAUUCCUUGUCGGGUAAGUUCCGACCUGCACGAAUGGUGUAACGAUCUGGGCGCUGUCUCAGCCGUGAGCUCGGUGAAAUUGUAGUAGCGGUGAAGAUGCCGCUUACCCGCAACGGGACGGAAAGACCCCAUGAACCUUCACUACAACUUAACAUUGACUUUGGGUAAAUAAUGUGUAGGAUAGGUGGGAGGCUAUGAUCUGGUGCCGCUAGGUAUCAGGGAGUCAACGGUG